rnacentral:lncRNA from 10 species
GGGAAACUGAGAGCUCCACCUUGGAAUCGCAUUCCUGAGAUGUCAUUAAGUCACAUAGAUGGAGAUGUCAAGAAGAGAAUUAUGGGCACCUAGACCAGAGAGAGAGGUUCAGGAAUCACCAGCAUUGAGAGACUAUUGAAGGCAACAGGGCUGGACAAAAUCACUUGGAAAAAAGCCAAGCUGGGAAAGAGAGGUGGUCCCAAGACCAAACUCUGGGUCUGGUUGGAGGAGAAGCCUGCAAGAGAGACUGGCAAGGGGAACAAAUCCAAAUAAGCUUAUGGUCUUAUUCUACAAGAUUCAAAAGAGUGGCUGACCCAGAUGCCUCUUAAGCUUCUACAGUCCACCAUACUCGCAGCUUUAUUCCUACCCUGCUAUGACAGUCUCUCAACCGUGAGUCAUACCAAGGGAAGCUUUAUCACUAGAUGAAGACGAAAUGCCAAAUUCUGUAACCCACUGACAGUAAAAAUUUCAAGCCACCAGUUUUGUAGACAGUACUCUAAGUACAUUCUAAUUUGGGAAAUAGAAUAAGAUCAUCUUACAUAAAUUUCCCAUCCAUUCUGUACACCAAUUUUUAUGUUUGAACUGUGAUAUACUAUUAAAAUAAGGAAGGCACUGUGUGGGCGUUGGUGGGAGUACCUUCUGAGAUGUUGAUAUAUGAGGUAACUGAUCUACCUGAUAACCUGCAUGCUUUAUAAAUGAGCUGUUGAACUCUCUGCUAAAUUUCAGUCUUAAAUCAUGAUUCAAAGAUGCAAUUGUGCAUUUAUUAAAGUGGCGGGAGACAGUGUGAUGCACUAGAGCUAGGGACCUACUCACUGAAGGGGGCACAAGAAAAAAAGGAAAAGCUUUCCAAGAUAUUGGGAAACUUUGAGACUAGAAGCAUUGCUUUGAAUAUGCUUGCUGCUUGCUGUAAUUAAAACAUUUUAAAGUAGAAAAAAAAGCAGAAAACAAAACAAACCUAGUCAUGAGUCUUCUAAGUAACUUUCUAUUUAUUCUGGUGUCCUCUUCUCCACAUCUGCCUAAGAGCUUCAAGUCCUGGAUUUUGUCCCUACCCUCCAAAUUUUGGGGAGGAUAUUUUUGAAAGUUUUAGCCAACAUUUUCCAAAUAUUGGUCCAAGGAACAUUGUCAGGUUGGCUGCCUCAAAGUCUCUUUAGAAGCUUUGGAAAAAUAGCGAUUCCAAGGUCCUGUCCCAGAAAUUCUGAUUCAAUGGGUUAAAGACCUCUUAGAUGGAGCUCAAGAAUCUGCCCUUUGAAAUGAAUUUGCCCAGCCUAUGACGAUAUGUAUCCAGACUGGAAGAUCACUACUCUCCAUUGUCUAAUGGGCAGUGCCACGGGGUAACUUUAAACUACUUACAUAAUAAAAUCUACCAAAAGUAGUAAAGUGAAUAUAGUAAAAUUAGAGAUCCUAAUUUCUGAAUGCUGACGCUUCUCUCAGCUCUAGUAUUUCUAGAACAACUGGAUCAAAAGCAACUGCUAGGGUGAACUAUCAUGUCGUCUGAAACCCCUGUUGGAGGCAAAACACUGAAUUACAUGCAAUGAAGUCUCAGUGCACCAUUCUUUACAAAGCAUGAAGGAACAGCCACCAGCACCGUUUUGUUUUUCAGAGUGAUGACGGUACUAGGACAAAUUUGUUUUCUGAUCUUCAGUGACCCUUGAUUCACUGGGCAAGAACAAAAAGCUCACGUAACAGUUUAUUACCUGAACCAUGUAAAACCCAUUUAUAUAUCAUGGCCACUUCAACUGUGGUGGUUGAUUGUGGUGAAGAUUCCAGUAACCAUGGGCAAUGGCACCACCAUUGAUAAUUAAAAGGCAAACCUUGUCAAUGCUGAUAGAAACUCUAGUUCAAGGUAGAUUCAUGUUAAGCAUAUUUGUGAACAGUUUAGUUAUUAAUAAUUGUUUUAUAGAAUGUAAGUGGAAAACAAUGUAUCUAAAUCAAUACAUUACUUUGUAUAAUAAAUAAUUUUAAAAUAUAAAUUAGUAACCAAAUUCAUCAAUCAGGG